rnacentral:rRNA from 1 species
UACAGAGGGUGCGAGCGUUAAUCGGAAUUACUGGGCGUAAAGCGUGCGUAGACGGUUAUGUAAGUCGGGUGUGAAAGCCCCGGGCUCAACCUGGGAAUUGCAUUCGAGACUGUGUAGCUAGGGUGCGGAAGAGGGAAGCGGAAUUUCCGGUGUAGCGGUGAAAUGCGUAGAUAUCGGGAGGAACACCUGUGGCGAAAGCGGCUCACUGGACCACAACUGACGCUGAGGCGCGAAAGCUAGGGGAGCAAACAGG